GGAGGUGAGGGUGAUCUGGCUGCGACAUCUGUCACCCCACUGAUUGCCAGGGUCGAUUUGGCUGACCUGGCUUGCUAGGUGGGUGUCCCCUUCCUCCCUCACUGCUCCACGUGGGUCCCUCCUGAAGCUGCACACUCGGUCGAGAGGACGACCCUCCCUGAAUAGAGGACCGGCCUUCAAUCAAGGGUAUAUGUGUAGCUGUGCUCCCCUGCUAGAACCUCCAAACAAGCCCUCAAAUUCUGUCUGAGAAGGUUCUCAGUAAAUAUUUAUUGAAUUGAAUAAUGUUAAUUUUGUGUACUGCACGAUACU
rnacentral:snRNA from 1 species